AUUGAACGCUGGUGGCAGGCCUAACACAUGCAAGUCGAGCGGAUGAAGGGAGCUUGCUCCUGGAUUCAGCGGCGGACGGGUGAGUAAUGCCUAGGAAUCUGCCUGGUAGUGGGGGAUAACGUCCGGAAACGGGCGCUAAUACCGCAUACGUCCUGAGGGAGAAAGUGGGGGAUCUUCGGACCUCACGCUAUCAGAUGAGCCUAGGUCGGAUUAGCUAGUUGGUGGUGUAAAGGCCUACCAAGGCGACGAUCCGUAACUGGUCUGAGAGGAUGAUCAGUCACACUGGAACUGAGACACGGUCCAGACUCCUACGGGAGGCAGCAGUGGGGAAUAUUGGACAAAGGGCGAAAGCCUGAACCAGCCAUGCCGCGUGUGUGAAGAAGGUCUUCGGAUUGUAAAGCACUUUAAGUUGGGAGGAAGGGCAGUAAGUUAAUACCUUGCUGUUUUGACGUUACCAACAGAAUAAGCACCGGCUAACUUCGUG
rnacentral:rRNA from 1 species